GAUGAACGCUGGCGGCGUGCCUAAUACAUGCAAGUCGAGCGAACAGACGAGGAGCUUGCUCCUCUGACGUUAGCGGCGGACGGGUGAGUAACACGUGGAUAACCUACCUAUAAGACUGGGAUAACUUCGGGAAACCGGAGCUAAUACCGGAUAAUAUUUUGAACCGCAUGGUUCAAUAGUGAAAGACGGUUUUGCUGUCACUUAUAGAUGGAUCCGCGCCGCAUUAGCUAGUUGGUAAGGUAACGGCUUACCAAGGCGACGAUGCAUAGCCGACCUGAGAGGGUGAUCGGCCACACUGGAACUGAGACACGGUCCAGACUCCUACGGGAGGCAGCAGUAGGGAAUCUUCCGCAAUGGGCGAAAGCCUGACGGAGCAACGCCGCGUGAGUGAUGAAGGUCUUCGGAUCGUAAAACUCUGUUAUUAGGGAAGAACAAAUGUGUAAGUAACUGUGCACGUCUUGACGGUACCUAAUCAGAAAGCCACGGCUAACUACGUG
rnacentral:rRNA from 1 species